GACGAACGCUGGCGGCGUGCUUAACACAUGCAAGUCGAACGGAAAGGCCCUGCUUUUGUGGGGUGCUCGAGUGGCGAACGGGUGAGUAACACGUGAGUAACCUGCCCUUGACUUUGGGAUAACUUCAGGAAACUGGGGCUAAUACCGGAUAGGAGCUCCUGCUGCAUGGUGGGGGUUGGAAAGUUUCGGCGGUUGGGGAUGGACUCGCGGCUUAUCAGCCUGUUGGUGGGGUAGUGGCUUACCAAGGCUUUGACGGGUAGCCGGCCUGAGAGGGUGACCGGCCACAUUGGGACUGAGAUACGGCCCAGACUCCUACGGGAGGCAGCAGUGGGGAAUAUUGCACAAUGGGCGGAAGCCUGAUGCAGCAACGCCGCGUGCGGGAUGACGGCCUUCGGGUUGUAAACCGCUUUCGCCUGUGACGAAGCGUGAGUGACGGUAAUGGGUAAAGAAGCAACGGCUAACUACGUG
rnacentral:rRNA from 1 species